rnacentral:rRNA from 1 species
AUGCGCACACAUCGCUCCUCACAAGAUCGCACCCAAGCAAUAGAUGAAGAACUACUCCCUCCGGUCACAAACAUAAGAUGUUCUAACCUUUUCUCUCUCUUUUUUGCGGGGGAAAAUGAUACGACCCUUCAUAAUAAAAACAGUAAGGUCAUCGAUGUUUCAUCUGAAGCCGGUGUUGUCCGAAAGUACGAUGCAUCUACACUGGAGUAUCUACGGCCAAGUAAUGAAGAUGAGCAUACACUAGCUAAUACUUGCAUGCACGUUGAUGCAUCGGACAGAAUUAAUAUAGGCCGAAAGAAGAAACAAGUCCAAGCUCAGGACCAGAUAAGAUUUAUUUCAGAAUUUGACAUGCGUACAAUGGUGCAAGAAAUAAAGAGAGAAAAAUAUGAGAUGAAAGCCAGCAUAGAAUGCUAUUCUGUUUUAAUUGUAGGAGGCAAAAUCCAUUCGGUGCAUGCAACCAAGAAUUAUGGCUAUUUAAUUGGAGAUAUGGAAGGAGUUAAAGGAAGAAUCAAGGUACUAGGAUUUAUGUUCUUGUUUCAGCCGCACAAAUAUCACGCAAGUGCAAACGUGCCGUGGAGUGUGUAG